rnacentral:rRNA from 1 species
AGGGAUCAUUACAGAGUUGCAAAACUCCCACAACCCUUGUGAACAUACCACUGUCGUUGCUUCGGCGGGCAGCCCCUGGGAGGGGCCUCGCCUCCUCGUGAGGUGCCCGCCGGAGGACCAACACAAACUCUUGUUUUAAUCGUCUCUCUGAGAAAACUUUUAAAUAAGUAAAAACUUUCAACAACGGAUCUCUUGGUUCUGGCAUCGAUGAAGAACGCAGCGAAAUGCGAUAAGUAAUGUGAAUUGCAGAAUUCAGUGAAUCAUCGAAUCUUUGAACGCACAUUGCGCCCGCCAGUAUUCUGGCGGGCAUGCCUGUUCGAGCGUCAUUUCAACCCUCAAGCCCAGCUUGGUGUUGGGGCAUUGCGGCUCGUCCGCAAGCCCUGAAAAUCAGUGGCGGGCUCGCCGUAACUCCGAGCGCAGUAGUUUAUUCUCGUUCUGGAAGAGUGGCGGGUGCCGGCCGUUAAACCCCCAAAUUUUUAAAGGUUGACCUCGGAUCAGGUAGGAAUACCCGCUGAACUUAA